UGACCGCGAUCGCGCGCUGCGGACGUCGU
rnacentral:sRNA from 1 species